UGCAGUUCCAUGUAUGCCAUGUUGGAGGCCAUACCUUGCUUCUGUUCAAAAAAUCAGUAACCAUCCCAGCCCAUCCUGAGUCCUUCUACACAUUACACUCACAGUCCUGACGCAUUACCAUGUUUGGAAACAUGUGAGGCCUCCACUGAAGAUCGCUCCCAGCUCAUAUAUGGCGUGCGAGCAGCUGUGGUGAUUCUUUUAUUAACUGGAAUCACCGUCUAUUUUCUUUGGAAGAAAAAGAAGUACCAGACAGCUGAAGGCUCUG